rnacentral:rRNA from 1 species
CGCGUAGGUGGUAGUGUAAGUCUGAGGUGGAAUCCCAGGGCUUAACCCUGGAACUGCCUUGGAAACUGCAUUACUUGAGUCAGUGAGGGGAGGGUAGAAUUCCUGGUGUAGCGGUGAAAUGCGUAGAUAUCAGGAGGAAGGCCUGUGGCGAGGGCGGCCCUCUGGUGCUGGACUGACACUGAGGCGCGAAAGCGUGGGGAGCAAACAGGAUUAGAUACCCUGGUAGUCCACGCCCUAAACGGUGGGCACUAGGUGUAGGGCUCGUAAGGGUUCUGUGCCGAAGGGAAACCAUUAAGUGCCCCGCCUGGGGAGUACGGCCGCAAGGUUGAA